rnacentral:siRNA from 1 species
CCUGCCAGUAGUCAUAUGCUU